GCUCCAGGUAGAGAGCUGAGAGACGGUACCCAAGUGCUCUCAGUGUGUCCCCAGGAGCCAGACAGCACACAACCGUGCUCUCACGAAUCAUAGAAAUUAACAGGAAAAUUCUGAAUCUUCAACAAUAUUAUCAAGUGUGACUUUAAUAAUUAUUAAGAUUUCAUCUGGUUGAAAUAAGUUUAUUUAUAACUAUACGAAAAAAGCCGUCAUAAUGUCAGAAACCAAAUAUUGGAUCAUGUUAUUUCUGGGAUAUGGAACGAUCAAUAUUUGCCUCGGAAAUGAAACAUUUGGAACACCACAGGGGAACACUAACACGUCAGGGAGUUCCUGUGGGUGUGGUUCCUCCGGCAGGACACGUUCCGAUGGACAAGUUCUCCAAACUGAUGAAAUUUACUAUAAGACCACAGAAGAUUAUCUGACCAACCAACCAAGAUACAAGUUUGGCCAGGCGGCCAACGUUGUGGACGGCUCGAGACGGACCAUUCAGAUGGUGGAAAUCCCCGGAGGCAAGUUUGUUAUGGGCACCAAUGACUCCAGAUUCCAUGAUGAUGGAGAAACCCCUGUCAGAUGGGUGGAGAUUGAUACCUUCUAUAUGGAUGUCCACGAGGUAUCUAAUGCAGACUUCGAGGUGUUUGUUAAGGCAAACAGCUACGAGACAGAAGCAGAGACGGCUGGCGAAUCAAUGGUGCUUGAGAGGGAGUUGUCAGCAAUCACUCAGUCCACGAUAUUUGAAGCUGUUGGCGGUACCCCGUGGUGGCUGCCUGUGAAGGGGGCUUCGUGGGACCAUCCUGCAGGCCUGGACUCCAAUAUCACAAGUCGUAUGGACCAUCCAGUUGUCCACGUGUCCUGGAACGAUGCGGCAGCGUUCUGCUCCUGGAUGGGCAAGAGACUCCCGACAGAGGCGGAGUGGGAGAGAGCCUGUAGAGCCGGCAAACACCAGAGGCUCUAUUCUUGGGGCAAUAAGUUUAUGCCAAACAACGAAUACAGGGCCAACAUAUGGCAGGGAAAUUUCCCCAAGGAAGACACGGGAGAAGAUGGCUGUGUUGGGCGGUGUCCGGUGACCAGCUUCCCGGCUAAUGGUUACGGUCUACACAACAUGUUGGGCAACGUCUGGGAGUGGACGGCUGACUGGUGGGGGACUCGUCACUCCUCACCUCUCCACAGUAACCCACUGGGCCCGAGGACAGGAGAGACAAAGGUGACAAAGGGAGGCUCCUACAUGUGUAAGCAAGACACUUGUUACAGGUACAGGUGCGGGGCGCGAACCAACAACGUUCAAGAUGGCUCCGGCGGCAACGUUGGCUUCAGAUGUGCUGCUGAUAAACUCCCAGAUUACCUCAAGAACUAGAAGACGCGUCUAGGACUCGUGGAGCUUUGUGAAGCGUUUACUUAUUUAGCUACUCAUAACGAAGUGUCCAUGUAGCACGGGCUAUGGUGAGCCCGUAAGAUAAGGGAAGGAGGCGAGGCAUUAAAUAGGCAAGAGAAGAGGCGAGAAGAAAAUCUUGGAGGAAGAAAAGGCCAGGCAAAAGGUACAAAAGAGACGUUGGCCACGAGGACACUAAAGAGCAUCAACAGGAGCAACAGGAAACAGGAGCAACAGUAACAAAAGGGCAUCAACAGGAGUAACAAUAACAAAGCAUCAACAGGAGCAACAGUAAACAAGAGCAUCAACAGGAGCAAGAGUAAACAAGAGCAUCAGCAGGAGCAACAGUAAACAAGAGCACCAACAGGAGCAACAGUAAACAAGAGCAUCAGCAGGAGCAACAGUAAACAAGAGCACCAACAGGAGCAACAGUAAACAAGAGCAUCAGCAGGAGCAACAGUAAACAAGAGCAUCAACAGGAGCAAGAGUAAACAAGAGCAUCAACAGGAGCAACAGUAAACAAGAGCACCAACAGGAGCAACAGUAAACAAGAACAUCAGCAGGAGCAACAGUAAACAAGAGCAUCAACAGGAGCAACAGUAAACAAGAGCAUCAGCAGGAGCAACAGUAAACAAGAGCAUCAGCAGGAGCAACAGUAAACAAGAGCAUCAACAGGAGCAACAGUAAACAAGAGCAUCAACAGGAGCAACAGUAAACAAGAGCACCAACAGGAGCAACAG